ACGAACGCUAGCGACGUGCCUAAGAAAUGCAAGUCGAGCGAGAUUAGAGAGCUUGCUCUCGAAGCCUAGCGGCGAACGGUCGCGUAACACGUAAGCAACCUGCCCUAAAGUUUGGGAUAGCCAUCCGAAAGGGGGAUUAAUACCGGAUGUGGAUGCAUCUUCGCCUGUUGAUGCAUCUAAAGCAGCAAUGCGCUUUAGGAUGGGCUUGCGGCCUAUCAGCUAGUUGGUGUGGGUAACGGCUCACCAAGGCGACGACGGGUAGCUGGUCUGAGAGGAUGGUCAGCCGGACUGGGACUGAGAUACGGCCCAGACUCCUACGGGGGGCAGCAAUUAGGAAUCUUGCGCAAUGGGCGAAAGCCUGACGCAGCGACGUCGCGUGACUGAUGAAGUCUUUCGGGAUGUAAAAGUCUUUUUUGGGGGAAGAAGGAUGUGACGGUACCCCAAGAAUAAGCCCCGGCUAACUACGU
rnacentral:rRNA from 1 species